rnacentral:tRNA from 1 species
GCCCAGAUAGCUCAGUCGGUAGAGCAGAGGACUGAAAAUCCCCGUGUCGGUGGUUCGAUUCCGCCUCUGGGCACCA